rnacentral:lncRNA from 1 species
GCCAGAGUACUUUUUUUUUUUUUUUUUUUAAUGAGGUGAUUUUAUGACCUUUGGAAAGGAACUUGCUUUAGGAGAACCUGAGCAAGAAUUAUCUUGUUGAAAUAAAUGAUGGCGGAACAGGGAGCACAUCCAAAGGGGUCUCUGGGGUUUACAGAAUUUCCUUUUGCUCAGAGGGAGAGGCCAGUCAGGUCUCCUCCCACAGCACUGGAUGGGGGCGGGAGGGAGAGCUGAUGCUGUUCCACACACUGUUCCCUGAACAGCCCACACAUCUUCUCACCCCCACGCUCAUUUGGACCACUGAUCCUUCUUCCCAUCCCGUGCCUUCUGAAAUCUGGAUUUGCCUGGAGAUGCACUUUUAAUGCCCCUUUCUCUCUUUCCUUUUUUUUUUUUUUUUUUUUUUUUUUAAAGGGCAUAUGGAAGUUCCCAGGCUAGGGGGUCGAAUCAAAGCCACAGCUGUCACCCUACGCCAUAGGCGCAGCCACAUGGGAUCUGAGCCAUGUCUGUCAUAGCUGCUCAUGGCAACACCGGAUCCUUAACCCACUGUGUGAGGCCAGGGAUCAAACCCACGUCCUCAUGGAUCCUAGUGGAGUUCAGUAACUGCUGAGCCACGAAGGGAACUCCUACUGCCUCUCUUAAGGUAGUUUUCUCUACUCCCCCGAAAGAAUAAGCGAUUCUUUCCUUGGGACUUCCAAAGCAAAUUGCUUAAUUUCGUUGUGACACUUAUAUUCUGCCUUAAUCAUAGGAAGUUGUUUAUCCCUGUCUCUGUCACCAGACUGUAACACUCCUGAAGGAUAGGGAGUGUUUCUUGUUCUUAUUGGUAACUUCCUUCUCUUUCCUCUUCUCCCCACGCAUAGUGGAGUGCCUGCUACACAAUAUAUCCACACACAGAAACACACAAAUGCUUAUUGAGUGAAUAUUCCGGGCAUUGGCAGGUCCCUAUAAUGAAAUUUUAAUUCAGAGUCUGGUUCCUCUUCCAGCUAACCACUUCUGUUCCUCACUAUCACUUAAUACAUGCCCAGAGAAUGCAAACGAUUGUUUAAUAUUAUCUUCGGUAGAACAUAAUUAGGUGCUGCUAAAAAUUCAUCAUCAUGCUUUGCAAAGCCAAGAAGAAAUGACUUUUGCAUUAUCCGUACCACUAGUCUUCCUCCGUGUACCAAUAACUGAGAUGUGAAUGUGUUCCUUAUCGGUCACGAGGGGACACCAUCCAGGGCAGUUGGAUUCACUGGGUUGGAGGAGGAAGGGGCCCAGGGCCCAUGGCCUCUGCUGUAAUUCUUCCUUCUCGGCUGCUGUGCAUCCUGGGAUUUGCCCAGGGCACUUAGUGUUGGUGGUCCCGCCCUCAGCUGCAACCUAAAAAUGGCCAGUGUGGGCUGGCAUCAAGGAAGCAGCCCCACCAAAACCUCAAAAAUUUGCAGUCAGAAAUGCUGGAUCCUGGCUUUCAUUCUAGUGCUGUUCAGUUCUUUCUUGGGACAGGGUUUUAAACUCUCUUCAGUUCUUCUUCAGACCCGUGUGACCCCUUUUGUUAUCAGAUCUCUUUUUCCAGCGGAGGGGGGGGGUGCAAACACAGGUUUUUCACUACACUUGAAUGCAGGUUCUCCACCAAAAACCAGAAUUCAGUGGGCUGCGUGGUGUCAGAAUGACCCCUUGGUUUGGCUAAUUCAGUCAGCUAGUGAAAUGUUCAUAGGAGUUCCCGUCGUGGAGCAGCGGAAACGAAUCCCACUAAGAACCAUGAGGACAUGGGUUCAAUCCCCGGCCUUGCUCAGUGGGUUAAGGAUCCGGUGUUGCCAUGAGCUGUAAGUCGCAGGUGCAGCUUGGAUCCUGCGUUGCUGGGGCUGUGGCGUAGGCUGGCCGCUACAGCUCCGAUCAGACCCCUAUCCUACAGCUCCAAUUAGACCCCUAUCCUGCAAACCUCCAUAUGCUGCCAGAGCAGCCCUAAAAAGACAAAAAGACACCCCCCAAAAAAAUAAAAUAAAUAAAAUAUCUGUAUUUAAAAGAAAGAAAAGAAAAAAUGUUCGCAGUGCACAAGGCAUUACCUUCCUCUUGGUUUCCUUCCUGAAUACUAAAAAAGCUGUGUGGAGUUCCCGUCAUGGCUCAGUGGUUAAUGAACCCGACUAGUAUCCGUGAGUACGUGGGUUUGAUCCCUGGCCUUGUUCAGUGGGUUUAGGAUCCGGUGCUGCCGUGAGCUGUGGUGUAGGUUGCAGAUGUGGCUUGGAUCUGGCGUAGCUGUGGCUGUGGUGUAGGGUGGCAGCUACAACUCCAGUUCGACUCCUAGCCUGGGAACCUCCAUGUGCCGCAAGUGUGGCCCUAAGAGAAAGACUCACACACACAAAGACACACACACACACAAAAGAAAAAAGCUGUGUGACUUGAAACAAGUUGCUUAACUUCUCUGGGUCUCAGACUCCCCUAACAUGAGGAAGUUGAGCUAGGUAAAAGCAGAGGAUCUUUUUAGCUGUAGCUUUGUGUUUUAAAUAUAUGUUUUAUGUGUUUUUAAACCUUCUUCCCUUACUUAGGGGAGGAACGAGAGGGAGGGCUCUUGGGUGUUGGGCCCCGAGGCUGGCUGUGGGCUUUUUGAAGGGGGUUUUCCUUAGUUCCUUCUGUUCACUUGUCAGGUUUCAGGGGUAAAUUGUGCCUAUACUUAGAAGGAUGUGUGUGUGUGUGUGUGUGUGUGUGUGUGUGUGUGUGUGUGUGUGUAUGAAACUACGGAUAAAUAUAACGCAACCUGAGGCGUUAAAUACUGAAGGGACAGGAAAUAAUGCAGGGUGUGGUUAUGGAUGGUGCUAGUUUGGGCGGACUUCCUUGAAGAGGGAAGUCUGGAGCAGGGCUCGCAGGAGGGGACCGGCUGGGAUUGCAAGGGGAGAAAGAAACCCAGACCAGGGGUGUGGGCGGUGCGGUUGGGGCUGGGGCUCGCUGGGCAGCUACUAAAGGCCGGGGCACCUGGGUUCUCAGCAGGCAGCUAUUGUGGGUGCUUGAGAAGUGGGUCAGCAUAGUGAAGUUUGAGAGGCUGCUUUCAGAUUUCUGGGAAUGGAAGUGGGGAAGGCCCAAGGCAGGGAGGAUGCUGAAGGGGCUAUUAUCAUCCAAAUGAAAUCAGCGGGAGGUGAGCAGUGUGGAAAACCUUGUAAAUACGUCUGGAGGAAGAGAGGCCUGGAAUUAUAUCUAUUCAGCCAUUUAACUUGUGCUAAAUACCUCCUGUGUUCUGGAGUGUCAGUUCUGGAAGGGACCUUCAAGGUGACCUAUUCCAUGACUUAGGAAGCUGAAGAUCAGAUAAGGGACCAGUCCAGGGCCACACAGCUGACUCUGAUGGGGCCAGUGCUGGAAACCUGAGUCCCAUGCCAGUGCUCUUUCUGCUGCACAGCUAAGUAUUCCUUGACCUCCGUUUCCAUAUUACAUUUGCAUGUAGUGCGGGAGGAGCUCCCCCGGGUGUAGAGCGACCUUAACGCACCCCGGGGACUCUACUAGCCCUGGGCUGUCCCCUUCGGUCAAAAGUCAGGACUUGCCCCAGAUCCUCUGCCAGCUGCCAGAGUCCCAGGCCCUGAGAUCUUUAACUCCCCCCACAGCUUCCCGCACAGAUUGCCCAAUAAUGUUAUGGGAAGGGAGGGAGGGGAACCCAAGGGUGUGGGCAAGCACAGCUCUGCUGGGCUCCUCUCGCCUGCCCACAUCUGUAUUCCUUUGAACAGUGUGAGAACAUCUGCAGGCCUUCUGCCUAAGCACCACCGGCCCUGUUUCCAGCCUGUUUCUUCCUCCCAUGGACUCUUAUCUGCGUAGACCCAGUGCUGCUGUAAGUAGGAAGGGACCUAGGAUCUGGUCUGAGAGCAGCAAGGAGCCAGGAGUAACCACUCUAGAUGAUGUUAGGGUCCACAGGUGUCUUCUGGAGGUUUUUUUUUGCUUUUGGGGCCACACUCGAGACCCCAGGCUAGGGGUCAAAUCGGAGCUGCAGCCAGACCCAAGCCGCAUCUGUGACCUACACUACAGCUCACAGCAACUUCAGAUCCUUAACCCACUGAGCGAGGCCAGGGGUCGAACCCGCAUCCUCAUGGAUACUAGUAGGGUUCGUUACUGCUGAGCCACAAUGGGAACUCCCUGGAGUUCUUUCUGGAGCCCUGUGUAGCCCCUGCAAUCUCCUUUCCCCAGGUUUGGCCUUCAGUCAAGGUGGAUCAAGCAGUUGUAGAGUUCCUGGCCUCACACCUUUCCCUUGGGGCCUUAGAAAGUGCAAAAAGUGCAAGUUGUGCCUCCAAGGGAUCAUUUCACCUCCCUCUUGUCCUUGGUGAGUGGUGGGGGCACAGGGACGGGGGUGGCAGGACAGAGCUGGGUCCAAACAGGCAGGGCUCUGCUUGAUCAUCCUUGCCUAGAGAGCCCUCUGUCUUAUUGGUGGUUGAGGACACCGCCGUCUCAGAGGGUCCCUAGCAUGUUUUCCUUUCAGUUUGUUUCCAUUCGUCAAGCCAUUGAGUUUGAGGCACUGCUCGGUGCUAGGGAAACAGAGAUGAGGACAAUAGGGUGACUUGCCUUCCAGGGUCACAGAGUUAAGUGAGCUUUUAUUUAAGACCAACACCACCUGUCUCAGACAUAGCAAAGAGACUGACUGCCAGGAAGGGUAUUUUGGAAUGGUGAGCAAGGGACAUUUAUGGAAAUCCCCGGCCAGGAGACCAGGCCAACUAUUCUCCCUUCUCUGAGGAGAUGGCAGCUUCAGGACAAUGGAAAGAAAACAAGAGGAGGAGUUGGAGACUUGGGGAUCUUCUCCCAGCGUUGCCCUUAAUAUGCACCAGGCAAAUCACUGCUCUGGCACGCAGUAUCCUAAUUCUAAAUCGAGGUGCAAUUAAAUAAUUUCUUUGAUCUCUUUCAUCUUUAAGAUGGAAUCAAUCCAGGAAGGCUUCCUGGAAGAAGUACAAUUUCAAUGUUUGAAAAAUGGGGUAAAAACGUUAAGUUACUGUGCUAGGGAAGGCAUCCCUGCUGUGUAAUAUAAUCUGGGGAAGGGUUGAGAGAGGGAGAGAAUGGAGACAAAGGGUUUUGAAAAGUUAUUGUGAACAAGUAGUGUAGGAAUUAGUAGACCUGGAGGAUGAGUGUGAAAAGGCCUUUGGACCCAGUGCUUAGAAGAUCGUACCUAGGCGUUCCCACCACAGCGCAGUGGAUUAAGAGUCCCACAGCAGGGAGUUCCCUUCGUGGCUCAUCGGUUAAUGAGCCUGACUAGGAUCCAUGAGGAUUCGAGUUCUAUCCCUGGCCUCACUCAGUGGGUUAAGGAUCUGGCGUUGCCAUGAGCUGUGGUGUUGGUCGCAGACGUGGAUCGGAUCCUGUGCUGCUGUGGCUGUGGUGUGGGCUGGCAGCUGCAGCUCUGAUUC